UGCCCAGCAACUCCUAUCCCCACCUCCUCGCGGUACCGGCCGGAAACUAUGAGCAACCUUAGGGAAGA
rnacentral:ribozyme from 1 species